GCUAUGCCACGCCCACCUCGAUCUCCGCCGCCACCUCCCAGCCCUACCUCUCCGGUGGUCCUGCGCCUCCUCUACCCCGACCUAUGACGGCUCUCCCCCCAUCUUGAUCUUUGCUGAUGGUCCUGCGUCCUCACCACCCUGACCUCCGGAGAAGCUCCUUCAACCCACUUCCUUCCCCGACCUCCGCUGCGCUCCGUUGUUCUUCACCGUGGUGACGCCCCCAUCCCUGCCGGUUGUACGUGCUAGAUUAGGAGGUUUGUACAUGUACGUGUAUAUACAUGUUCAAGUAGAGCUUCGUGAAUCUAAAGGCUUGUAUGAUCAAGAAUCUAUUGACAUCAAUUGAAUCUCACAUGUGUGUGCUAGAUGUUGGAACAAAUACUUCUCUUUUAAUUUGUAUGGAUGUGCUUACGUAUAUAUGUACUAGCACAUCUAGCCGGAACCUGAUUGGGAGGUCAGCUUCGCUACAUCUACACGCCAGUGUCUUCGUGCCAUAUACUUAUAUAUCUAGCAUAUCAAGCCACCAGAGACAAGCAAUACUUUGUUGAGACAAUAACAACAAUAUGAUCGUUUUGUCUAGAUGACAUCGUCCAUGUCUAUUGAUGUGGUUGGCACUCACCACAGCAUGCAUGCCUUGUGGCUAUAUAGCAAGUCAAGGUGCCUAUGCGGGCUGCAAAAAUGGAGGGCGUCGCUGACUCGGAUGUUGUGUCCUGCUUGAGCAUUUCAGUAAUGGGUGUCGGACAUGGACUCCACAUGGAACACUCUCUUUGCCACAUAAGCGAUGGCCUCAAGCCCCUAUAUGGAAGUAUCCAGUCUUGCUAUUCUACCAUUUCUCUUGAAUAAGAUGUACAACUUCAACGGAACACCGACCGCCAGUGCUCCACCUGAGGUACACCAUUGUGCAAUCCACAUGCCAAACCAUGAGUAAAGUAGCAAGCUAUUAUGUUUCAAAAUUUAUUUGGAAGAGCACGUGUUUUGGGAUUUAUACUUUGUGGUGAUCUUUUACUGUGUUCCUUCACCCAUAGCUUCUAUGGUCAUUAACUUUCCAUAUACGGAUAGUCUGCAAAGUUUACAAACAAGAGUGAAAGCAAUAACGAUGGGUGAUGAUUAUGGUAUGAUUGCCGGAUUAAUAAUUCAGUGGAAGAAAGCUAUUUUACUGGAAAAGAUAAAUCCAAUGUUAAACAUAGUACGAAUGUACUUCACCUGCAAAUUUUUCUUAUCAUUCUAUCAUUGCAGAGGUUAUAUAAACCACAAAAUCACACUGCUGGUCACACUAUUGGUCACACUACUAACAACAGGUCCAAAUGAAACCCGAGAAAUUAAAUUGAAAUCUUGGUGACUGCAACAGUCAGCAGGUUUGACAAACAACACACAUUUAUAUUAAUUCGGUAGUUCAUUGGAUAUGAUCUGCAAGAGUUGGCUGUGAUGUAUAUGUUCUGUAUCAGCGCACGGGUAGUUAAUCUGUCAUUUUUGCCAUUUAGUAAAUUCAAGCCCUUAAUAUGAUGCUCUGAAUAUCAUACAAAGUUAGUUUCAGAUUGAUAGUGCACCUCACAGUGAUUUUUAUAACUGAAGUUGAUCAUAAUCAUUGUGUACAGAGCAUUCUAAUGUGGUGUUCAUUAAAUUACAGAAAAUAGAAGUAUGCCUAUUUUGUAACAUAUUGUAGUAAGGUAGCGCCACUUCCAAGAAUCAAAUGAAUUUUAUGUCCGGGCAAGUUUUUCCUCAAAUGUAUACUACACAGGCAUCAGUACUAAUUAAUUGGCAAUUUACUAUGUGUCCUUAACUCCUUAUACAGAAUACAUCUCAUGCCUUUGUAGAAUAAACUUCUCAUGAGUGAAAUUACUUCUGGUGUUCCAAUGUAGCUAGAUUGUAGAGAAACAUGAUAGCAUCUUAAUAAUCCAGUAAGGUAUUUGUCGAGCUCCCAUUGCAUGAUUUAUAGAGAGAUCACAGAGCUUUUUCUUUAACUCAUUGAAAAUUGUUUCGCUUCCAGUAUGUAAUUUGUACAAAAAUCAUCAAAAAUUGUUUCGCUUCCAGUAUAUAUAGUGCACUCCCUCUGUAAAUAAAUAUAAGACGUUUUAUAGAUCACUAAAGUAGUGACCUAAAACUUCUUAUAUUUUUGUACGAGUAAGUAAUAUGUUCCUACUACUAUAUGUUUUUGUCAUUGUUAUGAGAAGAGAUUAAUUAGCUUCUCUGAGAUAUACAUCGUCGAUGUGAUCAAACAUGUGUUACAUGCCAUCUAAUGCAACAUCAUACCACAUCUUUCCAUUUUUCGGCACUUAUGUGCUCUUGCCAUUUGUGGAAUGGAAUUGUUCUCGGUUCAAAAUAAGAAACUACUACAGCUGAUAAGCAGAAGUGCAGAACAAAUAAAAUUGCAUUAUGCUUUAUUUGAAUGUUCACAAUUAUAACUAGCUAUGACAAAAGAUAACUAUACAUGUAUUUUAUUUGGAAGUAGAACUAUACAUGUUAGAUCUCCAAUGGUGUAUCAACCAAAAAACAAUACCACAGAAUCUUAGAAAGCAAAAAGAAUACUAUAUAACUUAUAUCAAGAUAGCCAAUUACUCAUGCUGAACGACAAACAAAAAAUGAUGUACUAUAUAACUGAUUGCUAAGAAAUAAAAGAAGUCCCGAGGUAAUGCUGGAAGGUCAGAAGGAGAAGUGUGAUAAGCUUUGAAUGGAAGCCCCCGUAAACAGCGGCAGUAACUCUAACUGUCCUAAGGUCCAAUUGCGCCCUAGUGAUGGUACUCCUCUUGAGGGAUACCACUCGCAAUCAUAUGAAUAUGUAAAAUGCCUAAUUAUGAGUUUCUAAUUCAAUGGGAAAAAUUGUGAAAAAUUGCCACAUAUUUUUAAUUAGUAUUUUAUUUUCAUGUCGUUUGUUUAAAGUCUAAUAUUUCAAUUUUAGUAUUAGAUUGUGGGGACCACUUUUUUCGUCAAUUCCAAUGAACGUCUAACUGAUAAGUUGGUAAGUUGGUCUUCAUUUUAUAUACUAUAGUAUAGCUCUUAUUUCUUUCCGUUUGUACAUAGUACUAUAUAUACUUCAAAGGUCACUGAGGUUAUUCGAACAUCUGGUGUCCCUCAACUCAUUUUAUUUUAUAUCUUAUUACUGUACCACCAAAUUACAACAUAUAAUGCAUGCAAUAAGGAACUUAUUCAAAGAAUAUAGUAUUUUGUCCUAUGAAAAGUUCAAAGGAGUUGAGAACUUAAUAUGUCUGGAUAAUAAUAAUUUGGAUAUUUUUCUAUAUUAUUAUGGAAAGAAUUUGUAAAAUGAACAUACUAAAAAUGUCACCAUUAUGUGUGUUUUCGUGCUAGCCUGUGCAACAGCACAUGUUGACGUCUAGAUACUGGAAUUAGGUGUAGCGAUAUCACAAACUAAGAUUUGUACAAUGACCGUUUUCAUUUAAUCAGUUGAUCUAACUUCUCCAUCAAAGAUAGUUAUUAAAGAAAAUGAAGAUAUCUCAUUCUAAACUCUGAGUAGUAUGAAUUGCGCCUCAAGAAAUUUAAAGUAAAUUAGUAGCAUAGCGUAAACCAACCAUAAUUUUCGCAAGGAUAUAUUGUAUGAUAUUAUUGCUGACUGAAAUGCUAAUGCAUAUACCUAUAUAUCAUUGGCCUUUAACAGCUUGGACUUAACGGUUUGCAAAAAUGCUACUCCGGUGUAACACUAUGAAUCUAGAGUAGAUAUUUAUUUUCCAAUUUUUAUACUUAUAUUACCAAACUUGCGAAUAUAUAUUUUUCACAAUAUGGCACAUGAGUAAAGAAUUUUAAUUUUUUUACAUGUGAACAUGCAAAAUUGAUAAAUGAAAAUAUGGAAUGAGAGCAUGUAUAAAAGAAAUAAACAUUUGAAUUCAAACAAAAUAGAAAAUCAAACUAAAAUAUACACUAGCCCGUGCGAAUGCACGAGUCGGCGACUAGUUAUGUUACAAUUGUUGAGAGAACUUGCACUAGUGAAAGUAUGAACCCUAGGCCUUGUUUUCAACCAUUGCAAUACCGUUUUCGCUCACUUUUCUUACUAGUUACCAUGCUGUUUUUAUAUUUCCAGAUUACAAAAAUCUAUAUCUACCAUCCAUAUUGCACUUGUAUCACCAUCUCUUCGCCGAACUAGUGCACCUAUACAAUUCACCAUUGUAUUGGGUGUGUUG